rnacentral:rRNA from 1 species
UACGUAGGUGGCAAGCGUUGUCCGGAAUUAUUGGGCGUAAAGCGCGCGCAGGCGGUCCUUUAAGUCUGAUGUGAAAUCCCAAGGCUCAACCUUGGACGGGAAUUGGAAACUGGAGGACUUGAGUACAGAAGAGGAAAGCGGAAUUCCACGUGUAGCGGUGAAAUGCGUAGAGAUGUGGAGGAACACCAGUGGCGAAGGCGGCUUUCUGGUCUGUAACUGACGCUGAGGCGCGAAAGCGUGGGGAGCAAACAGA